GGCUUCGUAGCUCAGCUGGCACAGCGCUUGUCGCGUUGAGGCAUAGUGUUUGUGGCGCUGGUUCGAAUCCAGCCGAAGCCC